rnacentral:rRNA from 1 species
AACGAACGCUGGCGGCAUGCCUAACACAUGCAAGUCGAACGAGACCUUCGGGUCCAGUGGCUACCGGGUUCGCAACCCGGGGAAACACGCGUUAGGGACCGGCAUAUCUCCCUGAAAGGACUGCAAAAACCGGAUACUAAUUCCGGACCAGAGAUUUUUCGGCUUGGGCGGGGCUGGCGUUGUUUGGGGUUGUUGGUAGGGUAACCGCCUACUCAGCCGGCGAUCCGUAGCUGGUCUGAGAGGGUGAUCAGCCACACUGGGACUGAGACACGGCCCUGACGCCUGCGGGAGGCAGCAGUGGGGAAUAUUGGACGGUGGGCUGAUGCCUGAUCCAGCAGUGCCGCGUGAGUGAUGAAGGGCUUAGGGUUGUAAAGCUCUUUUACCCGGGAUGAUAAUGACGGUGCCGGUAGAGUAGGCCCCGCCUACCUCCGU